AUUGAAUUGCUAAGUGUAUAAUGGUGUAGAUUAUGUUACCUACUGGAUGCCAUGGUAGCAUUUAAUAUGUUGAAAUAAUUGCUUAAACAGUUAAACUUCUUGGUCAGGUCUUGGGUUCAUAACUUCCAUAACCUUCAUCUUCUUGAUCGGGAUUUUCAUGUCAUCAUGGUUGGGUGCAUCUGUCCUGGGACUUGGGGAGUGGUUUAUCAAGAGAAUGCCUCUUGUUCGUCAUAUCUAUAAUGCUUCUAAGCAGAUUAGUGCUGCGAUAUCACCAGGUGUGUUUGGCAACAUCUUACUCUUUUUUUUUUUGGUCAAGCAACCUAGUGGCUAGAAAUUCACCUUUAAGGUGAAUAAGUGGGGUGUCCGGGGUUCAAACCCCGGCCCCUACAUAUAUUAUGCAUUGUCCCUUAUCAACUGAGCUAUGCUCUUGGAGACAGCAACAUCUUACUCUUUAUUGUGAUGCUAAUGUAUAUCUAAUGGCGGGUAAGAGAUGUUUAUGUUAACACAUGUGCUGCCACAGAUCAAAAUUCACAAGCCUUCAAAGAAGUAGCCAUCAUUCGACAUCCACGUGUAGGUGAAUAUGCAUUGGGAUUCAUCACCUCGUCUGUUGUCCUUCAGGUUUCUUAAACAGUUCUACUUUAGUGGCUUUUUAGUUCGGAUUUUUUUCUUUCAUUGUUGCUUAACUUGGUGUUUUACGAUGUUAAGAGCCCAAUGUUGAAUUUUUUUCUUUCAUUGUUGCUUAACUUGGUGUUUAACUUAGUUUGGAAUCACGAGUGAGUCCAUAUGAAUUAGUGAUAAUUAAUAAAGAUUAUCUGCUUAUCACGGCUUUAAAACUUUUGUUGAAUUGAACUAUCUUAAUUAUAUCGCUGUUUCACAGACUUAUUCUGGAGAUGAGGAGUUAUGCUGUGUCUAUGUUCCCACAAACCAUCUUUAUAUCGGUGAUAUAUUUCUCGUCAACACCAAGGAUGUCAUUAGGCCAAACUUAUCAGUCCGGGAAGGAAUUGGUGAGUUAUACUAGUUUUUAAAGUUAUUCUAAGCCUUACACUGUAGAAGUAAAGGCAGGCUGAAUUACGUUGCACUCAUUUUAAUAUUAUGAAGAUGUACUUUUCGGAGCUUCCUCUGUGGAGGUGCAGUAAAAUUGGAGCCUGAUGUUUUUGUUUGUGAUUUAGAAUUGGGAGACGAUGAACUGAGUAAUAACUAUCUUGUUUUACCCAACUCAGCCAUAAGUAUCACAUAUACAAUUAUACUUUUCACUCGCAUACUGUUUAUACUUGUGGAAUUCACCAAAAAAGCACACCUUAAUCGUGUUGCAACUUUUUAUGAACAAUUCAUAUUCAUUAAAUGCCUCGGUAAUCAUUAGGUGCAAGUGUAGCUAUCACCUCUAGUCUAACUUAUGCACUUUAGGUUGCAAGGAAUGAAGAUGCAAAAUAUAUGAAAACUAAUUGAACUCACACCAAUAUAUUUUUAACAUUGGCUAAAUUUUGCAGAAAUUGUCGUUUCUGGAGGCAUGUCAAUGCCGCAGAUCUUAUCGACGCUUGAUUCACAUGUUCCGGUGGAAAUAAGUAGACCUGAUAGAAGAUGACAGUUAAAGGUAUAGUAGUUGUUUAUUUAACAGCUAAUUUCACAUGGAGAUAUCAGAAUGGCAGCGCAAGCAAUGUGUUGGAAAUACAGGCAUGGAAUUUACGCGUUGAUCCGCGAACCAGUGUUAGAUCGAUAAAUUGUGAUGUUUUGUGUAACAUUCAUUCCGGCAAUAGAAUGUAGAAUUUAGUGUUUGUUUGAAAAUAUAGUUUGGGUGAUGGUACAGGGUUACAACAUUCUAUUGAGGUAGGGCUCUAAAAUUUAGUACUUGUGCAUAUCUUGGCGGUCUCCGUUUGUUAUAGCAAUUCAAUUUUGUAGUGCUGAUUACUUGCUUUCAGCUUAAUAAUAUAUUAUGUUUCUACGGUGGUUUUCAUUUCAUUGGCGAGUCAACUUAUUCAAAUCUCACCAUUCUCAAUUGAAUUUAAUGGAUAUGCACCAGAUAUUUUACCUUUAAACUUUUAGAAAUGUUAAAUUGUGCCCUUCCAACAUAAUAUAGUUUUUUUUUUAAUCGGCAAAUAUUAUUAACAACAAGCUCGUGUGCAAGAUGCCCUAAAAAGCUCCCUAAACAGAAAUAAUACAAAAGCGUCGUAAAUAUACGGAACACUUAAACCAAAUAACAAAAAAACUAAAUAACAAAACAGCCACACCAAGCCAAAGAGGCAAGACACUACCACAAACCAAAAAAGAAAAACCUGUGAACACCAACGGCGACAGCAAUAACGCCAGCCCCAAAGGUAGUAAAAAGAGCCAAACUAGGCCGUUAAACAACACAAAUAAGGCACCCUGUGCAAGACCAGAAAGGUACGCCAGAAAACAGCAGCCGCGCACCAUGAAGGUGGACACCAAAUCCAUUCAUAAUACAUACAAACCGGAAUGUUAAACCUUUCCAACAACCACCGCCAUGAAAAAACCUUUAUCUCCUCUACAAGCUCUUCUAUGGUUUUAGAUACAUCAUUGAAAAUACGAUCAUUUCUAACUUUCCAAAUCACCCACGCCACAUAUCAAAUCGCCCUCAAACCCUUUUAUAGAUUGACCCCCCACUCCAACGCUCCCCCCCACCCCCCAAAACACACACACUCCUUCCAACUUGUUGUACAAUGACUUAAUCGUAAAAACUCCAUCAUCCUCUAACUUCCAACUCCACCUAUCCUCACCAUGUCCCCACACAAAUCCUUCCAAAUCUUCCAACAAGUUGUUAAGAAGAUUGGUUUCCCACUCAAAAAAUUGGCGCCUCCAACUCCCCACUAAAUGAAUCAUUAAAGAGUGUCUCGAGGAAUCUCAAAAUCCUUAAAAUUAUAUGAGUAAUGAAACUGCUAUUUGAGAAUUAAAAAGGUGAAUUUCUACCACUAGGCUACUAAUUUAUGCUAAACCAAGCACAUAUUAAGCACACGACAUUACAAUUCUCCCCAAAGAAUCCUUCCCUUAGGGAUGACAUUGGGUACCCUAUGGGUAAGGUCGGUGCCCUUCCCCAUACCCGCGUUUGUAAAAAAAUACACGUACCAUCGCGGGCAACAAAUUUAGUGCCCUUCCCCACCCAUACCAGCACCCACCCAUUAUCUGCACUUUAACUAUGAAAAGACAAUAAAAAUAUAACAAUUGAAAUAAAAUUAUGGUUCAAAUUUUUUCAAAUCAACUCAUAAAAUAGUAUGGUUCGUAGUAUUUAACAAAAUAAAAAACAUCCAAAACAUCCUUCAAAAUUGUACACUAGCAGGAGGGAUCAGUUAUUGUAUUACGUAGUUUUUGGAUUACGCUUAGACUUAAAUAACUAAAUAAAUUAAUUAAUUAUACACCAAAAAUAAAUAAAUUAUUUAUCAUAUUGGAUAAAUAUGUUUAUGCGGGUUGCGGGGCUGGACAAUAUAGUACUCUUACCCAUACCCAUUUAAAUUUGCGGACAAUAUCCAGACCCAAGCCCGAACCCAUGAAAGCGGGAUUUUACCCUAUCUAUUGCAGGUAUUUUUUCGGAUAUCCAUCGAACCUGAGUCCAAUUGCCAUCCCUUGGCUUCCCUUGAUACCAAACGACAAUACAAUUUUUUCCAAACCACAUAAUACCAUGUUGCUUGAUAAGUAAUCAACCAAAUUAUUUACGACAACUCAUCAGCUACACUUGACAGCAUAAUAUACGCAUACUAUGAGUUAUACAGGCAGGCAUGCUGCCAAGUUUAGUCUUCGAAUUAUUUAGAGUUUCAAAGACAAAAAUAGAUGGAAAAUUUAACAUGUUCUUUCUUUUGAUAUCAUUUUUUUAAAGAAGAAAAUUAUCUUUCUUUUGAUAUCAUAGUUUAUUAAUCACCCACAUAACAUAAUUAACUAUGAUUUUUAAUGUCAUUAGCCAUUACUUUUUGGGUCGAUAAUAUCAUUAUCCGUGAUUUUCAACAUUUAGCAUUUGAAAAGUAAGAAACUUGUAUUUCUUUUCAAAUUCUCUUCAAUGUGUUAACAUUUUCAAAGAGUCAAUUCUUAGAUGCCACAAAUAUGCCUCUUUUAUUCGAGACAUCAAGAAUCUCAUCAAUCUUGACCAAGUCACGUGCAUUGCCUACAUCAUCUGAGAAGGUACGCUAAUUUUUAACAAAGCUUGAAGCUUACUUCCUCCUCAAAUCUUAUCAUUUCCAUCUCUCCUCAAUCAAAUUUAUCGAAACUUCUAAUAGCAGGCUCUGCGAAAACUUAAUUUCAUAGAUUGUUAUUUUCUUUGUUUUCGGUUUUUCUUUCUUGGCCUUGUAAAAAAUUAAAACCAAAAUAUAUGAUCAAUAACAUUUAAAAUUAUGGUUAACAUGUUUAAUCGAUAAUUAAUGAAUUUUGACACUUCAUAAUCAACUAUGAUUAUUGACCUUAGACUUGAAACUUAUCAUCCCUUAGUUCAAACUGGUCAAAUUAUCUGAUUUAUUGUAAGACUUACGUGUUCAAAUAUAUUUUAUUGAAUUAUGAUGAAUUGAUGAAUAUUCGUUGGCAAAGAACACCUCCCUCAAGUCACAUGCACCCAUUCAAAUUCAUCACCUAUAUAACAUCAUCAUUAUUUUGUCUUCUUUAUCUUAAUUCUAAAAGUCAACAAAAGCAUCUGAAUCCCAACCUAGGAACUUUUAAAAAUUUAAUAAUGUAUAGUUAAAAUACAGUAAUUUUUUUUUGACGAAAUAUAGUUAAAAACUUAAAAUAAGUUAAACUUUUGUUUGGAUUGAAAUAAAAUAAAUAAUUCACAUAAAUAUUAAUUAAAAUAAACAAAAAAGAGAGAAAAUAAAAUCCGAGAAGAAAAGAAUUAGAGAGUGGUUUUGAAAAAUUUAUCAUUUCUGCAAUUCUUCCACCAAAAUUUCUAAACGACGUCGUAACUGAUAAUUCUUCCGGCGAUGGUUGACGACAAAUCUCCGUCGACUGUAAUAGGCAACAGAGAUAGAGAUCGAGAGCUUCUCAUCCCCGUCGCUAAUUCCGGCGACGAUACCGAUGCCUCCAGACCAUUGGCUUCAUCCUCUUCGAUGCAUCAUAGCGGCCGCGAGGUACUUAAGGGUUUUAAUUGUUCAUUGUUUAAUUUGAAGCAUUUGACUAAUCUCAAUUUUGUGCGUGCUUGCAUUGAAUUUGUUAGUCUCGGGAAUUUCUUUAACUUGAAUUGUUACUAAUUUUAGGGAUGAUUUAUGUUAACUGGAUGAACUUCUUAGUUCAAUUACUAAUUAAAUUGAUUGAACUACUAAUUCAAUUAAGGGCAUAAUUUUUUUUAUUACCUUUUUUUUAUAAGCAUACCAAAUUAAAUUGUCCAAAUAUUUUCCUUUUUCUUCUUUAUCGGUUCAAAUAUUUUUAUUGGGUCUGUUUUCUGUUAAAUAAAUACUUGAUUUAUACUAGAAUUAUAGCAACAGCACAAGCUAGAGCUUUGAUUCGUCAAAAAAAAAAAAAAAAAAACUGGACCUUUGAAUUUGCAUGAAAAUUUAAUGUGUUUCAGUGAAAUUUAAUUCAUUGACUAUGCAUCUGAAGUAUCUGUCUGACAUUUGGCUAUGUGAUUUUUUCUGUUGAUUUGUAGACUUUUUCCAAAGUUGUUCAGAGCUGGGCAUCAAAAAAAUUCAUGACUGGAUGGUGCGUAUCACUUUACUCAACCCAAUAUCUUACUGUGUGCAUUCAUACAUAUAUCAAACUAGUGCCACAUGUCAUAUCUGUCGCCUUCUUGUUGUAUCGAUGUCUGUGUCUUGAAUUACAAGUUAGCAUACAUCAUAGUUGUAUUUAUGAAACUAUUUGCUAGUAAUAUAUUCAAACUGGCACUCCUUGUUUAAUGGGGAAGGGGGAUCCUAAUUGAACAAAACCUUUGAGUUCUAGAUUAUAAAUCUCCAUAUAGCUUAUUCAAUUUGUGACAUACUGACCAAGAAAAAUAUAGAAAUAUUUUCAUCAUUAUCUCUAUCACUGGUUUUAGAAGGGUGAGGCGAUGGAGAAGUAGACAACUUUUUAAAGGAUUAACUAUUUGUAAGCUAAAGACAACUUAUGAAAAUAAAUUAUCUGAAGGAGUUUAUGAAAAUAAGCUGAAAACGUUUUGCACAAUACGAUAAAUAAGUUAUUUCAAAUGCCCCCAAAUCUGAUAUGUGCAUUAUUACCUAUAAAAUGGCAGUAGCAGCUGAAUGUUAUGAAUUCUUUGUUAAUAUGUCAUGUUUAAUUAGUUGAUAGGUCUUUUUUUUUUUUUUGAAGUGUCAUUCUUCUUCCAAUUGCAAUCACCUUCUACAUAACAUGGUGGUUCAUUCAUUUCGUGGAUGGAUUUUUUUCUCCAAUCUAUGCUCAACUUGGAAUCGACAUCUUUGGUAAGUGCUUCUAUUUUAUGGUACUUCCCUUUACGCCUUACUAUUUCCCACACAAGGCCAGUAUUAUGGCUAUUCAAUUUUAUUGGAUGGAUCAAAUAUUUGUAGUGCUACAUUCAUAUUAUUUGGGUUUUGCUAUUUUUUGUUUUUGGGGAUUAUUGGAAGUAGUGUUGUGCAAUAGAGCUUCCAGAGAAAUACAAUUUUUUACAUGGGAAAUAUGUUAUUGGCCUUUGGUGUCUGUCUCUGACCCAUUAGGCCAUGGUAGCAUUAUACAUGUUGAUUGUUGAAGUAAUUGCUAACACUCCUUGGCCAGGUCUUGGAUUCAUAACUUCCAUAACCUUCAUCUUCUUGGUUGGGGUUUUCAUGUCAUCAUGGCUGGGUGCAUCUGUCCUGGGACUUGGGGAGUGGUUUAUCAAGCGAAUGCCUCUUGUUCGUCAUAUCUAUAAUGCCUCUAAGCAAAUUAGUGCUGCUAUAUCACC
rnacentral:lncRNA from 1 species